UACGGAGGGUGCAAGCGUUAAUCGGAAUUACUGGGCGUAAAGCGUGCGCAGGCGGUUUGUUAAGUCUGCUGUGAAAUCCCCGAGCUCAACUUGGGAAUUGCAGUGGAUACUGGCAGGCUGGAGUAUGGUAGAGGAAGGUGGAAUUCCCGGUGUAGCAGUGAAAUGCGUAGAGAUCGGAAAGAACACCAACGGCGAAAGCAAUCUGCUGGGCCGACACUGACACUGAGAGACGAAAGCUAGGGGAGCGAAUGGG
rnacentral:rRNA from 1 species